rnacentral:rRNA from 1 species
CUGCAGUUAAAAAGCUCGUAGUUGAACGUUCGGGUUCCGCGGGGACGGGGCCGCCCCCGCGAGGGACGGCGCCGCCCCGGGGCUCGUGAUAUCUCAUCUCGCCGCCCGUCGCGAGGCGGACGGAGGGAUGGAUGAGGUUACCUGGAAAAAAUCGGGGCGAUCUAGGCGGGCGAACCUCGCCAACGAACGAUCGGACAUGGGAUAACGGAAGAGGGCGUCGGCUCGACUUCGUCGGUUCCUCGGGGCCGAGGCACGUACGGUGAAUAGGGACGGUCGGGGCCGCCCGUACCGGGUCGUGAGAGGUGAAAUUCUAGGAUCGACCCGAGACGAACCGCCGCGAAAGCAUUCGGCAAGGACGCUUUCAUUAAUCAAGAACGAAAGUCGGGGGAUCGAAGACGAUCAGAUACCGUCGUAGUCCCGACCGUAAACGAUGCCGACCGAGGGCCCGGAGGAGUUACGUACGACCCUCCGGGCCCUCCCGCGAGAAAUCAGGAGUAUUCGGGUUCCGGGGGGAGGUAUGGUCGCAAGGCCGAAACUUAAAGGAAUUGACGGAAGGGCAC